rnacentral:rRNA from 1 species
UACGUAGGGUGCUAGCGUUGUCCGGAAUCAUUGGGCGUAAAGCGCGUGUAGGCGGUCCGGUAAGUCCGCUGUGAAAGUCGGGGGCUCAACCCUCGAAUGCCGGUGGAUACUGUCGGGCUAGAGUGCGGAAGAGGCGAGUGGAAUUCCUGGUGUAGCGGUGAAAUGCGCAGAUAUCAGGAGGAACACCGGUGGCGAAGGCGGGUCUCUGGGCCGAUACUGACGCUGAGGAGCGAAAGCGUGGGGAGCGAACAGG